rnacentral:sRNA from 1 species
GGGUUGCUCCCUGGCGCUCUCGCGCUGUUUUGAUGAAGAUUCGCACCUCUAUCAAAACGGGUAACCCCACCCUUUGGCAAGGCCCUGCUGUCAGAUCAAGUCUGAACUUCUACACAACAGCUGCUCACGAUAGCCCACAUUCGACAACGCCCUCAUCUUGCGUCGGCGCAUGCUCAAUGUGCUCUCAUCAUUCACCCGCAUCAUGUUC